CUACGGGUCGCAGCAGUAAGGAAUAUUGCGCAAUGGAGGCAACUCUGACGCAGCCAUGCCGCGUGCAGGAAGAAGGCCUUAUGGGUCGUAAACUGCUUUCAUUUAGGAAUAAACCCCCGAACGUGUUCGGGGCUGAAGGUACUAAACGAAUAAGCACCGGCUAACUCCGUGCCAGCAGCCGCGGUAAUACGGAGGGUGCAAGCGUUAUCCGGAUUUAUUGGGUUUAAAGGGUGCGCAGGCGGGCUAUUAAGUCAGUGGUGAAAUCCCGGGGCUCAACUCCGGAACUGCCAUUGAUACUGAUAGUCUUGAGUUUGGUUGAAGUGGGCGGAAUGUAGCAUGUAGCGGUGAAAUGCAUAGAUAUGCUACAGAACACCAAUCGCGAAGGCAGCUCACUAAGCCAAAACUGACGCUCAUGCACGAAAGCGUGGGGAUCAAACAGGAUUAGAUACCCCGGUAGUC
rnacentral:rRNA from 1 species